GAAUAUUGGACAAUGGGGGCAACCCUGAUCCAGCCAUGCCGCGUGUGUGAAGAAGGCCUUCGGGUUGUAAAGCACUUUCAACAGGGAGGAAAAGCUGUCGGUUAAUACCCGGUCAGCCGUGUCGUUACCUGUAGAAGAAGCACCGGCAAACUCCGUGCCAGCAGCCGCGGUAAUACGGAGGGUGCGAGCGUUAAUCGGAAUUACUGGGCGUAAAGCGCGCGUAGGCGGCCUGUUAAGCUGGAUGUGAAAGCCCCGGGCUUAACCUGGGAACUGCAUCCAGAACUGGCAGGCUAGAGUACGGUAGAGGUGAGUGGAAUUUCCUGUGUAGCGGUGAAAUGCGUAGAUAUAGGAAGGAACAUCAGUGGCGAAGGCGGCUCACUGGACUGAUACUGACGCUGAGGUGCGAAAGCGUGGGGAGCAAACAGG
rnacentral:rRNA from 1 species